ensembl:snRNA U6 U6 spliceosomal RNA
UUGCUUUGGCAGCACAUGUACCAAAAUUGGAGCAAUACAGAGAAGAUUAUCAUGGCCGCUAUACAAGGAUGACAUAUAAACUAAUGAAGUGUUCCAUUUUUAA